GGGUCCGUAGGUUGGUCGUGCCACCGGUACGUACUGGUCUCACUGAUUCCUCCUUCCUGAAGAACCGUAAUGCCAUUAAUUUGGUGUUGCGGGGAAACAGGACAGUUACUUUGAAAAAAUUAGAGUGUUUAAGGCAAGCUAACGCUUGAAUACAUUAGCAUGGAAUAAUGAAAUAGGACGAUCGAUCCUAUUUUGUUGGUUUCUAGGAUUGACGUA
rnacentral:rRNA from 1 species